rnacentral:lncRNA from 1 species
GCUCGUAGUGAGGCUACUGGAGUUUGAUUGACACAUAAAUAUGGAUCUCAAUGAGCUCUUGUAGUGGAUAUUGACAACAAUUGGUCCACUAUAGGAGUAGGAUGUGCAUCAAGAUGGGAUCUAUCAAUCUGGAUAGAAAGGAGUAGUCUUAUGAGAUUUGAGAAGCUAAGUUCGAGAAUCUAUGGCUAUAGUAGUGUGAUUGAUAGAAAGGAGUUUUCAUAGAAGUCAUAACUGGACUUG